CCUACGGGAGGCAGCAGUGAGGAAUAUUGGUCAAUGGACGAGAGUCUGAACCAGCCAAGUAGCGUGAAGGAUGACUGCCCUAUGGGUUGUAAACUUCUUUUAUAUGGGAAUAAAAUGUUCCACGUGUGGGAUUUUGUAUGUACCAUAUGAAUAAGGAUCGGCUAACUCCGUGCCAGCAGCCGCGGUAAUACGGAGGAUCCGAGCGUUAUCCGGAUUUAUUGGGUUUAAAGGGAGCGUAGGUGGAUUGUUAAGUCAGUUGUGAAAGUUUGCGGCUUAACCGUAAAAUUGCAGUUGAAACUGGCAGUCUUGAGUAAAGUAGAGGUGGGCGGAAGUCGCGGUGUAGCGGUGAAAUGCUUAGAUAUCACGAAGAACUCCGAUUGCGAAGGCAGUUCACUGGACUGCAACUGACACUGAGGCUCGAAAGUGUGGGUAUCAAACAGGAUUAGAUACCCCUGUAGUC
rnacentral:rRNA from 1 species